CAUGGGAAACAGAGUCCAUCUUGACUGCGUCUGAGCACCAAGCAUCACUGAUGUAAAACACUGAGUCCACCUCCUCCUCUUCUUGAUGUAAUGCAGUGGAACAUUCUUAUCGGGGCUGCAAGGACAUUGGACUCUAGUAGUAAGUGCACUUUAAUCAAUGCAAUGAAUGCAACUAUUUUUAACUCCUGAGGAAAAGGCCAUCUAUCCAAAGGAAGGACGAGCUCUGUUUGCAGACCUAUUUGGAGCCACUUCCAAUCACCUAAAAAAUUGCAGCAAAUCCAGGAUUUAUUGUCAUGUGUUUCAUAUGGGCUUUUGUGCAAAAGAAAAGUAAAAAAAAGUCUUUAAACCCUGUCAGCAGGAUUCCACAUCCUGUAGCAGAGCUACUGUUGUGGAAAGGUGGUUGCAUAGACUUUGCUGCAGACGAGGUAGGCAUCAACUCCAUUCAAAGAGAAAUGGCCAGGAGACUGAUGGAGGAUUAAGGGAAGCUUCAAUCAAUUGUAAAGUUUGCCUAAACUUAACCCACUUUGAAAUUGGCAUAUCUUUUAAUAGACAACCUGACAGAACUGCGCUGCAUCUGUCUGCAAAGAAACAGUGAAAGGGACACCCCAGAGGCACCUGUGGAUCAUUGGUUAGGAGGCUUUUAAAUGUAUUUCCAUGCAGCAAAGCCUAAUGUGAAUGUGGACUUUUUUUUGUCUGGCCUGCUCACCACCACAUUAAAUGGUCGCCCUCUUCGUUCCUGUCUCCACCUGACACUGUGGAGUCCUUCCACUUGCUGGGCACCAUCAUCGCCCAGGACUUCAAGUGGGAUCAACAUCAGCUCCCCCACUAAGGAAGCCCAUAUACCAGAGCAUAUACUGCUGGUAUAUAAUUCUCUGACUAAACUCUUUCAUCAUGGAUUACAUAUUCCUGGAGUAGGAAUUUUUUAGAGGAGGUUAAAUGCGUUGAACU